UCAUGAGAUGCGGUUGACUGAGAGAGGAGAAAUAGCCACCGAAUGUUCACAGCAAAACGACUUACGUAUCCGUACCACGAACUGCGGGUUUACUUUGCAACCACCUGUUUAUCGGAUUUUAUUUGCUGAUCAGGAAACAGAGAGAAUAAACAUUGGAGUGCAAACAUCAAGGAACACUCCUACGCUGGGAAAUGAUCAUCGCCCAUAGUGCCAAUUAUUCUUGACACAUUCACUUCCAGUUUAAGAACGUCCGUAGAUCUGUACGUCUACGAAACAUUUAGUCACUGACUUCACUGAACGCUGCAUAAUGUUGAUUUGUAGGAUGUAAUAAUUUUUCACUUUCUGUAGGUUCAUCGAGUAUAUCAAAGUACAAGUCAGAUUUUUGUAAUGGUUGACACUUCAGAGUGAAAUCAUCAUCUCUGUCGCUUGAACUUAUUGUGCUUUUAUAAAUGGCAUUAAUCAUCUCUUAAGAGGAUUUACUUUUUAGUUGUUCAGCGAGACAGUUCAAUAGUUGAAAUACUCGUUCAAAGUCAUCUCUGUCUCCACCGCUUGAGUUCAUUGCACUGUGAGUGGUGGCGACUUAAUGUUGCUUUGGUGGAUGCCUUUCUGGUGUACAUCCUUGCUUACUGAGUAGGAGGCAAAUCAGCCCACUUUGCUCCUUUUGUUUCAAGACAUUAGUCACCCUUUUGUUCCUCUCUUUUUAUUGCAUUGAUCAUUGAACCAUUGAUAAAAUUUACUGGCACAAAUGUG